CGAGGCGCUUUUAAAGGGAAAUGUUUGAACUCCUCAGGGACCUCUUCGCCUUUCUGUGACCUCUUAUAGAAACCUAGAGAAUCCAGCAAGCUGCUGAUCUCGUCUGCCUUCAUCUUCUUCACUGGAACAACCUGAGGAGUUGAGGCCAUGGAGCAGCUGCAUCUGUGUCAGAUUCUCCCACCGUCUGCUGAUGAAUAACCAGUGAAGUCAGAACAUAACAGCUGCUGUUUGAAUAACGCUCUGAUGAAGCAGUGUUAAAAGUUGAUCUUUACUAGCUCGCUUCAGAAAGAGCCCAAGAUGCUGAAGUCUCUGUCUAUGGGCGGGAAGAUGUAAGGGCUUUUUCAGAUCUUUCGAUCUAAUGGAUGAAACAAGCUAGCGCAAUUCACAAAUGAACACGCACAGAGACAAAGAAAAACAUCAGCUAUCGUUUCUGCUCUGUCAGCCGCAAGACCACACCGAACACUGGCUGAAAUCGCUACCAGAUGUGGAUGCAAUCUGUCCCUGUUGCCAUGACAACCGCUGAGUUCUGAACAGGCGUGUAGCUGCGGGUCCACUGACUGAUGUUCAGUGACUCUGAUGGUCCUGCUGUUUCUAUGGACCUGCCACUUUUGAGAGGUUCCCAACCAGUGCCACAUCUGCCAUUGGUCAGGCAAACAGAGAGCCCCGCCCCAAACUCACGCCAUUGGUUGAGCCAGAAUUUGAUAUGACAAACACAAACAACUCAACACAGCAAUGAUUUGAAAGAGCCACAGAGAGGAAGCAGCAGCACAGCAGAGACAGAAGAACCACCAGCAGGAAUGUUACCAGCGUUCCCGCAGCUAUUACUCCCAUCCGCUGAUUAGGAUCUGAGAGAGACAGAUGGAGAGUGUAAAAUUUGCAAUAUAAAAAUGUCAAUAACACGCGUUUCUAUCCAGUUGUCUCAUUUAACAGCUUUUUUCAGGAGAGAUGGAGGCUGUUCAGUGAAAACAUGGCUGCAGUAGGAGGCCAAAGUACAACUGAGGUGUGCAGAACAACAGGCUCACAGAAGUGUUGAGCUCAGUCCGGGUGUAGCGUGUGGUGCGGGGACAUCCACACACGUCCUGAAAGCACAGCUGCGUUUGAGGAAGGCCUCACAAAGUAUUUCUCUCAGCUGUGUGAAACAACCCCGGCUCUCACUAACUCUGCGAGCAGGCAGGAAAAGAGCCAAAAAACACAGCCGUAAAAAUAAGACACCACUCUGGAAACACCAUCAAGGCCGCCAUGUUAAACUGCUGCUGUCUACAGCAGUGACCUACAUAGUGAGGACUACGCA